GACGAACGCUGGCGGCGUGCCUAAUACAUGCAAGUCGAACGCAGUGGGGACGGGUGAGUAACACGUGGGUAACCUCCCAUCAGAGGGGAUAACACUUGGAAACAGGUGCCAAACCGAUACCGAUGGACGGACCCGCGGUGCAUUAGCUAGUUGGUGAGGUAACGGCUCACCUGGGCAACGAGGCAUAGCCCACAUGAUAGGGUGAUCAGCCAUACGGACACAGAUACACAACCCAGACUCCUACGGAGGACAGCAGUAGGAAAACUUCGGCAGUUGACGAAAGUCUAACCGCGCAACGCCGCGUAAGUGAUGAGGGUUUACGGAUCAUAAAACUCUGUUGUUAGUGGAGCGGUAUCUUGCCGAAAAGCCACGGCUAACUACGUGCCAGCAACCGCGGUAAUAC
rnacentral:rRNA from 1 species